GUCAGAUUUAACUUCCCUUCCUGUGCAACAGCGUGGAACAUGUUCUCUUCGGCCAGAAAGAUGGCUGGGGCAGGGUUGACCGCCAGACAGAGGGAAGCGGGGAGCGAGAAGCCGAAAACUACAAGGUGGUGAAGUGGGGAACCGUAUCCAGAAGGCGGAGAACAAAUGGCAGGAAGUGGAGUGCCAGGAUGUGCCGAGAGGCUCCUUAUACCUGCUUUUAUGUUGACAUGCUCAAACAUGUCGCCUCCCUCCGUUUCCCCCGGAGGUGUGUGUAACCCAGGGCAAGGAGGGAAGACAACAGCAUUGAUCUGGGAGAAGCCACUGUUACUACCCAUCAAUCUGGUCAAUGUCAAAAAUUUCACUUUCAAGCAUUAGUCCUUCAUCUGUGAUACGGACUAUUCAUGAGACAGCCGCUGAACUGUUCCCAGGCUUAGGAUGGCCGUCAACAAAGCAAUUACAUUUAAGAGUCUCCAGAACCAAAGCACCAAAGUAAAUGUUAGAGCUCGAGUUAGUACGAUUUAAAAAGAAAUACUGAAUGAGAAUGACACGCUCAGUUCAAGUCAGUUUAUUUAUACAACGGCAAUUCAAACAGCUAACAUGAAAGAAAAAUUUACGUUUAUAACCUGAACGUCACUAAAUGUCCUUUAAAUACAUCUAGUCAAAGUUAAGUGACUGUAACACACAGCUUCAUGUCUGUAAAAUGUCAAACAAUGUAUCAUUACCUCAUAUCAACAGCAAAGAACCGUGAUGGAAGGAUGAUGAUUUGGGCUUUUUGUUUUCAGCCACAGGACCUAGGCACUUCGAUCUUUGAGCUCUUUCAUACCAUAGUAUUGUGAAUCUAAUAUAAGGCCAUCUGUAGGAAAUAUGAUAUAUAAUAUAAACAAUUAUCUAUCUUUUGAUACUGUUAAGGACCUGAACAAAUUGAAAAAGUUUUCAUUAUAGUUGAAUAAUAAGAGUUCUAGUCAUGACCAUCUGGCUUCAUGUGAGUACCAACCCUGCAGAGGAAGUGUUCUUUCCCUGAUUAAAUACAUCACAUUCUUACUACUUCUUAAAUAACAUUUAAGUCUAAAUGCAGACUGAGGUUAGGUGUUUAGUCCGCACAACUAGGAAUCAGAGUACUAGCUCAAAAAAAGCCACUCUGCUCUCUACUGAAAGUCACUCAGUGCGUUGAUGAAUCCAUUGCUCACGCUGGAGUAAACUGAAUUUCAGAGACAACUCCUACAAUGUCAUACCCAUUCACUGG